rnacentral:lncRNA from 1 species
GCCCCUUAAUAACAAACAAUUUGAUGCAAAAUUACAAAUGGGACAAGAAACCAACGAACUAACAUAAUUUUUUUAUAUAAACAAGCGACUGCUAUUCACUCAUAAAGAUAAAGGACGUGAGGAAAAUGAAAUUGUAGCAUUAUGCCAUGCCAUGAUGCAGCAUUUAAUCACACAACACAAUAAACAUCACUUAAGUUUCUUAGCAAUAUGAUG